AGCAGUCGCCACGGUAAUACGAAGGGUGCAAGCGUUACUCGGAAUUACUGGGCGUAAAGCGUGUGUAGGUGGUUGUUUAAGUCUGUCGUGAAAGCCCUGGGCUCAACCUGGGAAUUGCGAUGGAUACUGGGCGACUAGAGUGCGGUAGAGGAUAGUGGAAUUUCCGGUGUAGCAGUGAAAUGCGUAGAGAUCGGAAGGAACAUCUGUGGCGAAGGCGACUAUCUGGGCCAACACUGACACUGAGACACGAAAGCGUGGGGAGCAAACAGGAUUAGAUACCCGCGUAGUCCCUGUCUCUUAUAC
rnacentral:rRNA from 1 species